rnacentral:rRNA from 1 species
ACGCUCGACACCUACAGGAGGCAGCAGUUGGGAAUAUUGGACAAUGGAGGAAACUCUGAUCCAGUGACGCCGCGUGAAGGAAGAAGGUCUUCGGAUUGUAAACUUAUUUUGUCAGGGAAGAAAAAAUGACUGUACCUGAAGAAAAAGCACCGGCUAACUACGUGCCAGCAGCCACGGUAAUCUGAGCGGGCUGGCAAGGC